UCGUGCUAACAAAACUGGAAAGCGUACGUUAAAAACUUGGCUAUUAUUUGAAUAUCUUUUUAUUAACGCGCCGUAUGCGAGUGACAUCUGUGAGUGUAAUGAAAUUAGGCGUGAGUAAGUGUAAGAGUACAUUCCACAACGUAUUUCUGUGUCCUUAUAAAUAUUGUUAUCUUAUCCAUUUAAUUAUAUGGUUUAUUUCUUUAAUCGAUGUAUAUAAAGUUAUUAUUUCCUUCUUCAAUAUUCGUAACAGAUUAUUCGAUCAAAAUUUUUGUCAUAUAAAUAACAAAAUACACAUUAAUUUCGCGAGUUAAAUCGGCAAAAAGAAACGACACGUGCGGGAAUCAGUUACAAAAUGGUCAAAGAUGAUAUCUCGCGAAGAACGGGAUAUCAAUUAAACAGGAAUGAUUUUCUAUUUUGGAAAUCUCAACAGAAAACUAUUUCUGAAUAUGGAAUUGAAUACCUGAUGGUAAGAUUUGAUUCAAAGGUAAGCUGACGAUUCGGAAAAUCAAACGACAAGACUAUGGAUAAAAAAUAACGUGCGUAUCGUGUUUCUUAUUUUGUCUUCAAUCGACUAACGCACACUGGAAUAUUUGAUUAGGAACUUAAAUGUAUGUGAAUUACAAAAAUUUCAUAAAUAAAGAAAUAAUUAUUUUAUUUAUGAAAUGAAAAUAAACUCAAAUAAUUUGACGCUAAUGAAGAAGUUUCAUUCUGUUAUGUUUCACCUGUCAAGGGUCAAAGAAAGGUCACAUCAAACGAGAGAGAUCUGAGCAAGAAAGUUAUCGAACUUGUUAUGAUUUUGAAGACAAUUUGCCAACGAUAUAACACAAAUAACAGGUGAUAGCAUUACAGUAAGUGAUCAAAUGAUCAAAAAAUUCCGGGAUAAAUUCAUAAAAGAAUCAGAGGGUGUAAGAAAUGAAAGAGACAAGUACCUUGUCAGCGACAACGACAAUGAAAUGACAAAACAAAACAAAAACUGAAAAUGGAAGGCAAAGAAGAAAGUUAUGAUACGAACAGGUAAAAAUAAAUUCUUUAUGUGCGAAUAAUCAAACAAACAAUUUCGGGAAAUAAUAAGAAAAAAGGAGUAUAAACUGAUAGAUGACGAAUCGAUUAACGUUUUCGUUAUCACUAACGGUAUCAAUCAACGAAGGAACGUUCAAAAAGGGUCGGUAAAAUGAUAUCCUAGAUACAAUAGACAGAUAAUGUAGAUGCUUGAGUUACCGACAAUAUUGGAUCUCGCUAAAUUUUGCACAGCUUUGAAUGAUUUUCUGAAUUAUAUUUUGUUAGUUUCGAAGAAAAUUUUGUCGAAAUUUUACGAAACGGAGUGAUACUGAUUAGUGGCACCAAACAGAACAAUAAAAUCUGCCCAGGAUGUUAUAUCCGGAACCGAUAUACAUUGCAGUUUACUCGCUUAAUCAAAUGGAAUACGAUGAUCCUGAGAAAAUGACACCGCAUGAUGCCUGGGCAAAGGAGAAAUCCAGAAUAUGACAUAUAAAGCUUCAAUCUCAGCCAUCAAUCAGUCUCAACAAUCCGAUCGAUGAGAAAUUUCAUGAUGGAUGCACCAAUGUAUGCAGACAAGUUGAUAAAUUUGAUGAAUUAUAUGAACGAGAAAUACCUCGAUGAAUUAUUCGAGAUUAUACCGCAAUACGUUUAUCUUGGAGUGUCGUUUGCACGUUUAUAUCAACUUUACAAAUAUAUUGAUUAAAAAUUUAUUAAGACAAAAAAUAAUUUUUAAUUAAAAAUACAUUUUAGAAUACUUGCGAUAAUAUGACCGAAUAUAAAAUCAGAUAAUGAAAAUAUCGUAAAAAUAGGAGGCAGCGGACCUUCAUACGAACUGAAAUAUUAAUUUUGGUGCUUGUUGUAAUAUAACGUAAUCUUUGUAGAAUAAAAUAAUAAAUGUUCCUUGUUACG